UUUUUUAUAAUUUCAGAACUCGAUACGAGAUAGAUCAUCUUCGGAACGAGAGGCGUCGCGACUAAUAUAAUAAUUGAACGUGAUGGAUAGAGAACGCAACGAUUGCGGAACGAGUACCGUCGCGAGUCAUAUAAUUGAACAAUUAUCUGAAUGCCACAUACAUAAAAAAAGAAGAGAGAAGGAGAUGAUCAAAUAUGAGCAUAG